UCUAAGGAUAGGGAAAGGACAGUUUCCGUCACCUACACAAAGCUGGUGGUGCUGGCGGAAGAAUCUCAAACUACCACUUUGGGUCUGCAUCAAGAGCCUUGCUAGAGAUCCAGAGAUCAAGCUUGAGAGAUAAACCCAGAACUGAGGACUGUAGCUGACAAGGCGGUAGCGUGCUGUACAGUGUUUCCCCACGCUGCUGUUUCCCCCUUCUUUAGGGGAUCAAAACGCUGCUCCUGCUUAGGUUUUCUGAGAUAGCACACUUUCCUCUACUGCAGCUCUGCAUUGCAUCUAACAGGCAGUGACUUCUGAUGUGGAAUGCUCAAACCUCUCCUCUCUCUCUCUCUCUCUCUCUCUCUCUCUCUCUCUCUCUCUCUCUCUCUCUUUCAAGCUAAGCACAAUGGACUCUCUGUUGAGGAAUAUUGUAUAACUCCCACUCUCAACAGAAUCCUUUUUGGUUUCAUGGUGUUAUCAGUUUAGGACACAAGCUUUCCCAUCCUCUAGAAGAAAAUCAUCUGCGGAGGUCAGCUGGUCAAUUUCUCAGCUUUCCUGGGUUUCGACACUAUUGAUUUCAAGUUCUUAGUAUCUUCAAAGAGUUAGAAGAAGGUAGUGUGCAGUGGGUAUGAAGAUAGAGAGGUACUGGGGGGGUGCAGAAAGGCAUGUUUAUCUCCUUGGGGACAGCCAAAAGAGAUGCACUUAUGCACAUUGUGUGUACAUCGUAUGCAAGACGUACGCUGUGUGUAAGGGAUGUACUUUUGGACACUGUACAUGAGAAGGUAGCCAGAGGGAGGAAGGGCUGUUUUCCAGGAUGGAGACAGUCUCACACUCUCCCUGCCUUUGGGACUCGGAAAAGGAGUUCUGGGAUUGGAGUGAGGACCUAGAAGUUGGGAAGAAACCCACGACAGGGCAACACCUGCGACAUGCUCUCCUGCCUGGCCAGCACAUCCUUUGCCCAACAGGUGGUAUCACACUCAUGGACUUCCUAAACUCUUCAGGUGUUGAAGACACCCGCACAAUGUCUGGGGGACUCUGGCACCCACCAACACCCUCACUUAGAGUAUCCUAGAGUGACUUCUGAAGGGGUUGGCCAGGCUAUGACAAGUUGCAGGGAGACCGCGGAGAACUCAAUAAGAAGGAGCGGCGAGUGGAAUCAAAAACCCUCGGAAUGUUUGGAAGACUGAGCGAAGAUGGCUCCAAAUGAUAGGCGGGAAAUGGACGCUUCCCUCUCCGGAGUUGGUUUCUUCCUGGUCGUCUGCGAGAAGCUGUCUUCCUACGAUGAGCCUUUUGCAAACUUCUACUAGACUUUAUUAGAGUUCUUCCCCACCCCCUCCUCCUCCUCUGAGUUCCCCUCUUCUCACGAAGUUAGCACGGGAGGGGAAACGUGAUACCAGCGAAGGGAAGAGACAUAUUUUCUGCCCCCACCCCGCUUGCUGCUUAGUAAAGUGGCCUCAGUCUGUGCUACCCAGGGUCUUUCUAGGAACUGCUGUCUGAGAACGGGAGAGCGUGUCCUCCUCCCUACCCGCCCCCAGGAGUUCUGUAUGCGCUUUUAAUAACCUAUCUCCCAGUGAGAAACAGUGCUGCGUAGAAACUGUGCAGACCGGUAGAACUGCUCUUCCCUAAAGCGCGAUAGCGGAGACCCCCACUAGAAAAUAAGCACCCCAGCUAGAGGCGGACCUUGUAGGAUUCAGGUUGACUAGGAUGCCAGCUCCGUUGGAGAGUGCUGGAGAAGGGACUUCAGAGGAACCUUGUAAUACAAAAGGUGAAAUAUGUUUAUCCCAACUCCAUGCUCAGAAUCCUUGCCAAGAAAGGCAGAGUUGGUAGUUGUCAAAGCUAGCAGUGCCUCCUGCCCCCCCCCCCCCCAAACUCAUUUGCUUGAAGGGUCCAGCUCAGCCGAAGACCCAAAUAAGAAAGAUUACAAACAGUAAUACUCAGGUCACUGUGCAAACGGUUACAAAGAAACUGCAGCUCUCGCUCCCUCUUUAAAAAAAAUAAUCAUGGAAGUAAAAGAAUGAGCAAUCUUAAAUAAUUCCAUAAUCGAGACAGAAACAGCAGAUACACUGUAAAUUCAUAGCUUAAGGCACAAAUGUUUCCUCGCUUCCUGUGUCCGCUUGAUAAAAAACAAACAAAACUAAACUUAACUGAAGCUUUUGGGUUCUUCUUUAACUGGAGAAAUGGUAAGAAUCUAAGUUUGUGGUUUCAAAAAGACCAGAUCUUGCAUGCAUUUUGCCAGAUUCCCUGCCUGUGCAAACAAAACAGUGCCUUCUAACUUUGUUUUCUAAACUUUCUUUCUCAACCUCACCCCAAGUUUUUUGGUUUUCUUUCUUCAUCUCAGAACUCGAUGCGUUUUCCUUUGUUUCUGCCGAAGUGUUUCUGACUUUGAUAAAUAUUAAUUAUCUGUCCUCUUCCUGGAACUUUGCUACACUCCCCACUCACUUGCAUCAGCGUGGAACAGAUCCCCACCACUAAGAUCAGACAAUGGUCGAAGAUGGUUCAUGUGUCUAGGACUGAGUCUGAAACAGUGCCCUGGGUACCCAUUGUGUGUUCAGUAACCACCACAGAAAUAGAUACUAAAAUUAAAUAGCCACAAAACUAAGAGGGUGGGGGUAAACGUACCACAAAACAUGAUUUUUUACUAACAAGGAAGUUAUAAGGUGAAGGGAUGUAAUGGGUGCUGCUUCUUCCUCUGUCAUGAUAUACAACUAGCGAUAACCGGAACCAUGAAGAGAAAACUCUGCUUCUCUUCUCCUCUGUUAUUUUGUUAGAAAUCUUUCAGAACUGAACAAAUGCAGAAUGUUUGCUCCCCCACCCCCCCAAAAAACCCGUGUGCUUACUACUGCCGAAUAAAUCUUUAAAAGGCUGUGGUUCUUCUCAUUGAAUAAGUGGAAUAUGAAAUGAUUUAAAAAAGUCUGUCAAAAAAGUUUCUUCAAUAUUUUGGUUUUGAAAUGGUUGUGAGGGGAACAUUGUAAAUGAAAUUACUUCCUCGGCAUGGUCCGUGUAAAUGUGAAUCCUGAAAUAUCAGGGAGGGUAACAGGGGCCAUAGAGCAAUGUGAGC